rnacentral:misc_RNA from 1 species
UUUCCGUAGGUGAACCUGCGGAAGGAUCAUUAAUAAAUUUUGAAAAGGGAUAUACCUGUCUUGUUAGGAGGCUUGUGUACGCUCUGCUCUUCCAUCCUUAUUCCUGUUCACUCGCUGUAGGUCGGUUUGGGCGGCUCUCUCUAACGGGGGAUACUGAUUGUUCUUCCUAUGUUUUAUAUCAAGCUCUGUAAUGUCAUAGAAUAUGAUCGUGUAUAACUCAUUAUACUAUAACUUGCAGCAACGGAUCUAUAGGCUCUCACAUCGAUAAAGAACGCAACA